CCUACGGGAGGCAGCAGUGAGGAAUAUUGGUCAAUGGGCGAGAGCCUGAACCAGCCAAGUCGCGUGAAGGAUGAAGGAUCUAUGGUUUGUAAACUUCUUUUAUAGGGGAAUAAAGUGAGGCACGUGUGCAUUUUUGCAUGUACCAUAUGAAUAAGCAUCGGCUAACUCCGUGCCAGCAGCCGCGGUAAUACGGAGGAUGCGAGCGUUAUCCGGAUUUAUUGGGGUUAAAGGGUGCGUAGGUGGUUGUUUAAGUCAGCGGUGAAAGUUUGUGGCUCAACCAUAAAAUUGCCGUUGAAACUGGAUGACUUGAGUGUGUUUGAGGUAGGCGGAAUGCGUGGUGUAGCGGUGAAAUGCAUAGAUAUCACGCAGAACUCCGAGUGCGAAGGCAGCUUACUAAGCUAUAACUGACACUGAAGCACGAAAGCGUGGGGAUCAAACAGGAUUAGAUACCCCGGUAGUC
rnacentral:rRNA from 1 species